rnacentral:rRNA from 1 species
UACAGAGGGUGCGAGCGUUGUCCGGAAUCACUGGGCGUAAAGGGCGCGUAGGCGGUGGCUUAAGCGUGCGGUGAAAGCUCGGGGCUCAACCCCGCGUCGGCCGUGCGAACUGGGCCACUGGAGCAGAUCAGAGGCAGGCGGAAUUCCGGGUGUAGCGGUGGAAUGCGCAGAUAUCAGGAGGAACACCUAUUGCGAAGGCAGCUCGCUGGGACGUAACUGACGCUGAGACGCGAAAGCGUGGGGAGCAAACAGG